CCGUCCGUGUGCUCCACGAGUCUUCAAUCUAUCCAAGCCAGCCUGCCUGCCAUCCUCCUCAGGAACAGUUUUCCUUCCAUCAAAGCCUCUGGUUGUAGUCACCCUACUCUGUCACCCAUCUGUGUGUCACUGUCUGAGGACUCUGCUCAAAGCAGCCUUCUUCCAGCACCUUUUCCACCUGGUCACCCUGGGACUCUGCCCCCUCUCCUCUCACUUCAGACAUAACACUAUCUCCUACCCCUUUGAGUGUUUUGUGGCUGUGUGUGUCCAUGUGUCCAUGUGCCCAUGUGCAUGCGUACAGCACCUGUCAAAUAGAUCACACACGCUUAGGACAGAAAUCCUAGUUCAUCCACAUCUCUGCCCUGGUCCGUACAGAGUUUCCUCGUGGUGAUUCUAUCUUAACUAUUGCAGAGAAGCUCAUUCUAGCUCACCGCUGGUGGGGGACACAUUUCUAGUGUGUUUCCCCAAGUUGAAGGGACUGAAUCUGCCCGGGGUCAGACAUGCGGUCCCGCAGCAUCCCACACAUAGGGCCGCCAUUGGGAGCUGGUGGCUGGAAGAACACCGUGGGCUGAGUGACCGGCAGCACGCCUAACACUGUUUACAGAGGACUGCAGUUUGCUAGGAACUUUUUCCAGCCCUAAAAUUGCCGUCUAAAAAGUCUGCCCCCCAACCCCCCUGAAGAAAAAGAAUUUAAAUUCAAACAGCCUCUACCUGCAUCCUCCCUCUCUCAUUACCUCCCAGUUAGUGCUCAACGCCAAUUGUCCAUGAAAUUCCACUGCUGCUGUUAAUGAAAUGAGGAACAUAAGAAGUUUGUGAACAGGAAGUGUCCAUGCAAACCUCCUCCUGUUUCCCUCCUCACUUCCUCCUUUCUGCCACUGGCCUCCUCUGCCUCGACCUCCUCUAAAUUGCUUCCGAAAUCUCUCUUCACUUCCUCGGUUCUUGGAGGAGGAAAAGGCCUGCAACGAACUCCCCACUACCGAGUUUCCUUCCUUUCCCACCAUGUCUUGGAGAAAACACCUGACUUUCCCUCCUGGCUCCAUCACUACGUAGCCAGGGGGUCAGAGCUUAAGCUUAGCCUUUUUGGCAUGGGGCUGCUUAUCCUUAUUCUACCCAUCAGAGUGAGGAAAUGCGUUUAACAGCAUUGAAAAAGCAAUAAUACAUCAUGAAAUAAAAAGACCUGCCGGCUCUCAACAAAAGGAUUCCAGUCUUUGGUGUGAGGUUCUCUUCCAGCUAUCUCUAGCACAAGCCAGUUGUGGACUCUGGUUCUACCCAGAAAUGCCUUUAUUUCAGGUAGGAUCCAGGGUCCAAGGGCUGAAGCCAUCACGUACCCCUUUGUCAGGAUUCGGGUGGGGGGGAGCUGCCCAGGGACUCCCCACUUCACACCCUAUGCAGCUCACCUUGGCUUCCUCCCUAGGGAAUAUCUCCCAGGAUCUCUCCGGGGGCCCCUAAGAAGUAGCCCUUCAGGAGUGAAGCCUGGCAGCGCAGCCUGGGUCUCCUCUGUCCAAGUUCCAACAUGGCAGCCAGGCUCAUUCUAAGCCCUGGGCCAGAUCUGCAUCCUGAAGCAAAGCCACUGUUAACAAGUGGCACCAGAGUCCUCCUUCAGAAGAGUGUUCCUCUGCAGUGGGAGGAAGGCAGGGUGCCAGCAGCCCUU
ensembl:lncRNA